rnacentral:rRNA from 1 species
AGAGUUUGAUCCUGGCUCAGGAUGACCUUUAGCGGCAGGCUUAACACAUGCAAGUCGAGGGGCAGCGGGGAGUGGCAACACUCUGCCGGCGACCGGCGAAAGGGUGCGUAACACGUGAGCAACUUGCCCGUGACUGGGGGAUAACCGAUGGAAACGUCGCCUAAUACCCCGUAACAUGCUGGGAGGCAUCUCCCGUCAUUGAUAACUCCGGUGGUCACGGAUGGGCUCGCGGGACAUUAGCUAGUUGGCGGGGUAACGGCCCACCAAGGCGACGAUGUCUAGGGGUUCUGAGAGGAAGGUCCCCCACACUGGAACUGAGACACGGUCCAGACUCCUACGGGAGGCAGCAGUGAGGAAUAUUGGACAAUGGAGGCAACUCUGAUCCAGCCAUGCCGCGUGAAGGACUAAGGCCCUAUGGGUCGUAAACUUCUUUUGACGCAGGGCAAUAAGGCGUACGUGUACGCCCGAUGAGAGUAUGCGUCGAAUAAGCAUCGGCUAACUCCGUGCCAGCAGCCGCGGUAAUACGGAGGAUGCCAGCGUUAUCCGGAUUUAUUGGGUUUAAAGGGUGCGUAGGCGGACUGUUAAGUCAGUGGUGAAAGGUCCCGGCUCAACCGGGGAGCUGCCAUUGAUACUGGCUGUUUGGAAUGCGGAUGCCGUGGGAGGAAUGUGUAGUGUAGCGGUGAAAUGCAUAGAUAUUACACAGAACACCGAUUGCGAAGGCAUCUCACGAAUCCGUUAUUGACGCUGAGGCACGAAAGCGUGGGGAUCAAACAGGAUUAGAUACCCUGGUAGUCCACGCAGUAAACGAUGAUGGCUAACCGCCGGCGAUACACAGUCGGUGGCCAAGCGAAAGCGAUAAGCCAUCCACCUGGGGAGUACGACCGCAAGGUUGAAACUCAAAGGAAUUGACGGGGGCCCGCACAAGCGGAGGAACAUGUGGUUUAAUUCGAUGAUACGCGAGGAACCUUACCCGGGCUCGAACGGCAGGGGAAUCGGUCAGAGAUGGCCGAGUCUUCGGACUCCUGUCGAGGUGCUGCAUGGUUGUCGUCAGCUCGUGCCGUGAGGUGUCGGCUCAAGUGCCAUAACGAGCGCAACCCUUGUCACUAGUUGCCAUCAGGUGAAGCUGGGCACUCCGGGGGCACUGCCCGCGCAAGCGGCGAGGAAGGCGGGGAUGACGUCAAAUCAGCACGGCCCUUACGUCCGGGGCGACACACGUGCUACAAUGGCGCGCACAGAGGGGGGCCACGCGGCGACGCGGAGCGGAUCCCGAAAGCGCGUCUCAGUCCGGAUCGGAGUCUGCAACCCGACUCCGUGAAGCUGGAAUCGCUAGUAAUCGCGCAUCAGCCAUGGCGCGGUGAAUACGUUCCCGGGCCUUGUACACACCGCCCGUCA